UACGAAGGGGGCUAGCGUUGCUCGGAAUCACUGGGCGUAAAGGGUGCGUAGGCGGGUCUUUAAGUCAGGGGUGAAAUCCUGGAGCUCAACUCCAGAACUGCCUUUGAUACUGAAGAUCUUGAGUUCGGGAGAGGUGAGUGGAACUGCGAGUGUAGAGGUGAAAUUCGUAGAUAUUGGGAAGAACACCGGUGGCGAAGGCGGCUCACUGGCUCGUAACUGACGCUCAUGCACGACAGCGUGGGGAUCAAACAGG
rnacentral:rRNA from 1 species